rnacentral:rRNA from 1 species
AGAAUCAACGCUGGCGGCGUGCCUAACACAUGCAAGUCGCACGAGAAAGGGACUUCGGUCCUGAGUACAGUGGCGCACGGGUGAGUAACACGUGAAUAAUCUACCUCCGAGUGGGAAUAACUGAGAGAAAUCUUAGCUAAUACCGCAUAACACUUACGAGUCAAAGCAGCAAUGCGCUUGGAGAGGAGUUCGCGGCAGAUUAGUUAGUUGGCGGGUAAUGGCCCACCAAGACGAUGAUCUGUAU